rnacentral:rRNA from 1 species
UGCAAGUCGGUACCAAUAGUACCGCAGAGCUUGCUCUCGGGUGACGAGUGGCGGACGGGUGAGUAAUGUCUGGGAAACUGCCUGAUGGAGGGGGAUAACUACUGGAAACGGUAGCUAAUACCGCAUAACGUCGCAAGACCAAAGAGGGGGACCUUCGGGCCUCUUGCCAUCAGAUGUGCGCCAGAUGGGAUUAGCUAGUAGGUGGGGUAACGGCUCACCUAACGGCGACGAUCCCUAGCGGUGGUCUGAGAGGAUGACCACGAUGCCACACUGGAACUGAGACACGGUCCAGACUCCUACGGGAGGCAGCAGUGGGGAAUAUUGCACAAUGGGCGCAAGCCUGAUGCAGCCAUGCCGCGUGUAUGAAGAAGGCCUUCGGGUUGUAAAGUACUUUCAGCGGGGAGGAAGGUGUUGAGGUUAAUAACCUCAGCAAUUGACGUUACCCGCAGAAGAAGCACCGGCUAACUCCGUGCCAGCAGCCGCGGUAAUACGGAGGGUGCAAGCGUUAAUCGGAAUUACUGGGCGUAAAGCGCACGCAGGCGGUCUGUCAAGUCGGAUGUGAAGAUCCCCGGGCUCAACCUGGGAACUGCAUUCGAAACUGGCAGGCUAGAGUCUUGUAGAGGGGGGUAGAAUUCCAGGUCGUAGCGGUGAAAUGCGUAGAGAUCGUGGAUCGGAAUACCGGUGGCGAAGGCGGCCCCGGGCUGGACAAAGACUGACGCUCAGGUGCGAAAGCGUGGGGAGCAA